rnacentral:rRNA from 1 species
CAAGAUGAGAUAUCCCAGUUAAGUAAGACCCCUUGGAGACUACGAGGUAGAUAGGCUUAAGGUGUAAGUGCAGCAAUGUAUUAAGCUGAUAAGUACUAAUCGGUCGAGGGCUUAACCAAG